GUGAAUCAUCGAAUUUUUGAACGCAAAUUGCGCUUCCUGGCAUUCCGGGAAGUAUGCCUGUUUGAGGGUCAGUAUUAAUAAAAAAUCGGUUUAGUUACAAAUUGUUACUUUUCCGUAGUUUGGGCCAUCUUAACAUCUUUGGUUAAGAGGCUUAAAAUUGACCUUUUUUGCGCAUUUUUUAACUUUCAUAAAUUUUUUUUAUUAGUCUAUAUUU
rnacentral:misc_RNA from 1 species